ACAGUCUGCGAAAAGCCUCGGUGAGCUGGCAAUAAGCGGGGAGCCGGGGGUGUCCGAAUGGGGCAACCCAGCUAAUUGUGAGAUUAGUUACCUGUUUUAGAACAGGGGCGAACCUAGGGAAGUGAACCAUCUAAGUACCUAGAGGAAAAGAAAUCAAUAGAGAUUCUGCAAGUAGUGGCGAGCGAAAGUGGAGAAGCCAACAUGAGAUAGUUAAAUAAUUAGGAGAACGACUUGGGAAAGUCGACCGUAGUGGGUGAGAGUCCCGUAUCUGAAGAUUAUUUAAUAGUACUAGGCAUGUUAAUAAGUAGGGCGAGACACGAGAAAUCU
rnacentral:rRNA from 1 species